CAGGACCAAAGUCAACUAUCGGUUUUAUUUCUUGUGAAUGUGAACGAGUAGAAAGCCUCUCCUCUUCCAGUUUUGAUACUUCGCUAUUAGAAGUUAGGUUGGAAGAGACGACAACUUGGGAUUGUGAAGAUGCUGGAGCGCCUUCCUCGGUUUUUAUGAACGGUUUUUCUUCAGUGUCACCAUUGAAAGAAGGCAAAUCUUCAGUUUCCUCCUUUUUUACCGGAGACGUCCUAUUUGGAUUCCAUACAGGCACAUUUUCCACUAUUCCACCGAUCGCUUUGGCAGCAGCAACACGUGUAUCCCAGUUUUUAGAUUUCAAGUAUGGGACGACUCGUCCCAAUAGAUUGUAAAGCUCAUCAGGAUGAACUUUCUGUAUAUCUCCAAUUUGUUUAGCAGCUGUCUCUCGAACGACAGAAGUAGAGCCGCUAUCAAGCAAUACAACCAACCGGUCGAGGCGUGUUGU